rnacentral:rRNA from 1 species
UGGGGAAUAUUGCACAAUGGGCGCAAGCCUGAUGCAGCCAUGCCGCGUGUGUGAAGAAGGCCUUCGGGUUGUAAAGCACUUUCAGCGAGGAGGAAGGUGGUGAGCUUAAUACGCUCAUCAAUUGACGUUACUCGCAGAAGAAGCACCGGCUAACUCCGUGCCAGCAGCCGCGGUAAUACGGAGGGUGCAAGCGUUAAUCGGAAUUACUGGGCGUAAAGCGCACGCAGGCGGUUUGUUAAGUCAGAUGUGAAAUCCCCGGGCUCAACCUGGGAACUGCAUUUGAAACUGGCAAGCUAGAGUCUCGUAGAGGGGGGUAGAAUUCCAGGUGUAGCGGUGAAAUGCGUAGAGAUCUGGAGGAAUACCGGUGGCGAAGGCGGCCCCCCUGGACGAAGACUGACGCUCAGGUGCGAAAGCGUGGGGCAGCAAACAGGAUUAGAUACCCUGGUAGUCCAGCGCUGUAAACGAUGUCGAUUUGGAGGUUGUGCCCCUUGAGGCGUGGCUUCCGGAGCUAACGCGUUAAAUCGACCGCCUGGGGAGUACGGCCGCAAGGUUAAAACUCAAAGGAAUUGACGGGUCUAGCUGUUUCCU